CACACACACACACACACACACACACACACACACACACACACACACACACACCAGGGCAGAGAAGGGAAAGAUGCAGACACAGGAUAGCCCCGGCACAUAGUGAGCGCUCUACCAUAUAUGGACAAACUUCCAAGGGCGAGAGUUUGGGAAAGUGAUGUCACGCAUUAGACAGGAUGAUCACAGGAUUCGAACGUCCAGGGGGCGGGUACCUUCGCCGUUACCAACGGCAACAGGUACACGCCUGCAGGGCGUUCAGAUCGGCGAUUGGUUGGUCGCGGAGCGAGGCCCUGCCCACUGUACGUCCAAUCCCUUGGAUCUUAGCAAGUCGAGUACCCGUUGAACUCUGCACAGAAGCGGUUGACUCUAAAAAAACAAAUACACGAACAACGUUGACAUGGUGAUUAUUGAGAAUAUUUGGAAAUACUUUUUUUCGCGCCAAUUAAAUACAAUUUAACACAAUCCCCAGAUAGGCUACCUCAAGAUAGGCCUAACCGCAUCAAAAGUUGGGUAUUUUUAGCCACAGGCGCUGAUACAGUUGGAUGGAUGUCAAGGUAUUUGAGUAGGGUGGAAAAAAAAACUAUUAUGGCUACCCCGCCCUUGGAUUUAAACGUAGAAUAAGCCUUAGAUUGGACAUUAAACCGCAACGCAGUUCCCCAGGGAGUCACAACAGCUGGAUCAGGAUAGCUUCUGUACACUUCUGCGGUCCUCUAUCUCUUCCUGCUGCUAUGUCAACAUGUCGGAGGCCUAUCGUGCACGGCCCACAUUUCCCUAGUCGCAGGAAGUUGUGUCAGGACUUGCCUUAAACUAUGAUAAGUAGGCCCUACCUGCGGCUGAUAUGAUCAAUGCUGCGGGCGGUGGCGAGGAGACGACCAGUUAACACUCAGUAGGCUAUUCACAGCCUGUCGAGGCUCGGAGUUACAAUGGAGAACAAUAACACGACUGGGCCGCUCCAGGUGUGAAGACAGACUGCAGAUUAAUUCAACAGAAAGGUGUGAGGCGGAAGAUAACUCAUCCAGCAUGCCCUUGGCUACCACUACCAGCAGUCCGUGUGUUUUCGCGUGACGCGUGGCUUCCCUUCCUCUCGAGCGGUCAUGCUUCUCAUUGGGCAAUUACUACGGCACCUUGCUGGGUGACCACUAUGACAUCAUCAGUCCUCACUGUGUCCAGGAAUGCGGACUUGUCUGAGGGGGGCGUGGCCCCCGCAGUAUUCCAUAUAUGGGUGUUUAGUUCAGUGUGUGGUUGCCCUCGAUCCAGGACUUUGUUAAACUUCAUUCAGACCCCGAGCUGAGUUCAGUCAUGUGCUGAUAUGCUCAGGAGCGAAUGACUCAACAAAGAUUGUGUGUGAAUGUACUGUGUAAUAUCACUCAUUGUUAUGAGUGCUAUCCUUUAUGACAUUGAUCUGAAUUCACUGUAAAUUGCUUUGGUUAAAAUGACCAAAAGUAAAUAGAAAAUGUAACAGCAUCCAGUCGACGUGUAGACAUCCUUGAGCAGGAUGCCCCUGACACCAUGCAACACAAAAGACACACACUCUUGGAGUAACACAGCCGUGUAGACAGGAAUGACUGGUGAUGAAACGCUGACCAGACAGUGGAAAAAACACUUUAAUGACGGCAAGAGAACGAAUUCUCCAAGUGUCAAAGCAGUGCCAAGCAACUCUCUCACGAGUCACGACACACAGUGAUGAUUUCUCUUCUCGCAGCUCCACCUGGUGGUCGGAGUGUUACCCACAAGGGAAUGGACUUUCGACUUUCCCACUGGAAUAAAAAGUCUAGCAUACUUUGCUUUCGCCUUAUUUUAAACCAAUUUUCUUUGCCAACUCACAUAAGGGUUGAAUAAAUGAUCCUCCAACUUGCUGAAUUAUAUACCCCGUUAUCAUGCCCUGCUAAAGAAGUCAAACAUGCACAGGUACAGCGGCCCUUUAUGAGUCAAUUAAUAUAAAGAAAAAAGCCUGAAAUAACGUGUUUGUAAAUGUUUUGGUUGAGGGGCAGUCAAGGCCAGAAAGAAGCAGCCUGAACGAAGGGAACCAUUGAAGCAGACCUCUUCAACAAGUUUAAUUUAGGAUCCAUUAUGUCGGGGAGUUGCGUUCUUUACAAUAAACACGCAGACGUUUGCUUCCACGACCCCACGCCUAAUGACAUGAGGGCAAACAUUAGCCAAGCUUAAAGAGGACAAAAAGGAAUUAUAAAAACAAAUUAUCCCCUUCGAGAGAGAGAAAGAAACCCACCAUAAUUGGGAGAAACCAAAGCGCAUGUUCUGACGGC
ensembl:lncRNA